GUGAGGAAUUUUCCGCAAUGGGCGAAAGCCUGACGGAGCAAUGCCGCGUGAUGGAUGAAGGCCUAUGGGUUGUAAACUUCUUUUCUCAGAAAAGAAUUAUGACGGUAUCUGAGGAAUAAGCAUCGGCUAACUCUGUGCCAGCAGCCGCGGUAAGACAGAGGAUGCAAGCGUUAUCCGGAAUGAUUGGGCGUAAAGCGUCUGUAGGUUGUUUAAAAAGUAUUCUGUCAAAGAUUAGGGCUUAACCCUAGAUAGGCAGAAUAAACUUUUAAGCUAGAGUUUGGUAGAGGCAGAGGGAAUUCCCGGUGGAGCGGUGAAAUGCGUAGAUAUCGGGAGGAACACCAAAGGCGAAGGCACUCUGCUGGGCCAAUACUAACACUGAGAGACGAAAGCGAGGGGAGCAAAUGGGAUUAGAAACCCCGGUAGUCC
rnacentral:rRNA from 1 species